rnacentral:lncRNA from 1 species
UACAACAUGGAUGCUGUAACAUUAUCAAUUUAUGUCUUAUGUUUACAUCUUCAUGGCACACAUUUAGUAAAGUUGUUUGAUUGCCAGGGGGAUGUUACAUCACAUUUCAAAAGGUUAGGACUGAAAUGUGGACAGAGACGAGAUUUUACAGCCGAAAUUCUGUCGGAAGGCAAUUUAUAAUGGGUACAACUUCAAGUCAAAUCGGCACCUGGUCAAAUCGGCACCUUGUUAAAUCGGAACUAGUCAAAUCAGCACCUAUUUAAAGUCAAUUCGGCAUCCUAUAAUAUUUGAUAAAAUAAAUAUAAAUAAUUCUAAAAAUGUAUAAAUUCAUGAUCUAUUAUGGGGGUUGGAUUUUAGCUAGUCCAAAUAAUUAUGACGUCUGGCAAGGCUAUUUUAAUUUUUUUCUGGGACGCCUUCCUACGACGUCAUAACGCCGAAGCCAUUUUUUACAUCUGGAGUUUGAGAGCAAAUUUUGGGGGGAACUUUGACACCUAAUUUUAGGAAGUCGUCCCAGAAAAAAAAUAAAAUAGCCUUGCCAGACGUCAUAAUUAUUUGGACUAGAUUUUAGCAUGCAUUAAAACGCAUCAAGCAGCUAGAAUGCAAAAGUUUAUUAUCUAAAGUUUUCCCAACAUUCUAUGACUGACGUUUUGAUAAUUUUUCUUUUCAGGUAAUUAAUAACAUAGUUACUUCAAAAACUUCAUAAGAAACAACGAAGCCCUGCAAUAAUUAAUGAAAAAAUAUUAACUACUUCCUGUAGGUCGUGACGUUUUCGCCUGGUUUUUGCAUGCUGGGAUUUAAAAUACAAUCAUUAAAAGUCUUGGCUUUUAAUCAUAUUUUAACGUAAUUGUAAGCUCACCAAUGACUUAUGCUUUAUCUAAUAACCAUCUGAUAAUAAGAAGAUAAUAAGAAGAUA